UCUGAAUAGAUAAGAGACUGUAGCAGGGAGAUUGGCAGAAACCUGGUUGCACCUCUAGUCCCGUCCAGGACCCAGAGAGAACAAAGCCAAAGCCAAAAACACAAACAAAGGUUUCCCUCCACCGAGGUUUGAAAGUAUCUUGUCUCCUGAUUGGUCCUCUGGUCAGGUGUUGCAGGUCACUGUUUGUUAACCCUUUACAGGUGAAAGACAUUAACCCUUAGCUAUCUGUUUAUGACACCUAUAAAACCAUUUCACAUUCCUAAGUAAGUACAAAGUAUUAUCUCGACCACCUGUUACUGGUGUUUUUUCCAACUUGUUCUUAAAAACCUCCAGUGAUGGAGUUUCCACCUCCAUCCUAGGUAAUUUGUUCCAGUGCUUAACUACCCUGACAGUUGGAAAGUUUUUACUAAUGUCUAACCUAAAUCUCCCUUGCUGCAAUUCAAGCUCAUUAUUUCUUGUGCUUUCCUCAGUGGAUAAAGAGAACAAUUUAGCACCCUCCUCUUUCUAAUAACCUUGCAUGUACUUGCUGACUUAUGUCCCCCCUCAGUUUUCUCUUCUCCAGACUAAACAAAUCUUACUGAGAAACAAAUUUUCUCCAUCUUUCCUCGGUGGUCAUGUUUUCUGGACCUUUAAUCAUUUUUUAUUUGCUUUCCUCUGGACAUUCUCCAAUAUGUCCACAUCUUUCCCAAAGUUUGAUGCCCAGAACAGGAUGCAAUAUUCCAGCUGAGGCUUUAUCAGUGCCGAGUAGAGUGAAAGAAUGACUUCUUGCAUCUUGCUUACAGCAUCCUGCUUAUACAUGCCAGAAUGAUAUUCGCUUUUUUUGCAACAGUAUUAAAUUGUUGAGUCCUGUUUAGUUUAUGAUCCACUCCAACCCUCGGAUCCUUUUCAGCAGUACUCCUCCUUAGGCAGUCUUUUUCCAUUUUGUAUUUGUGAAACUGAUUAUUCCUUCCUAUGUGUAGUACUUUGCAUUUGUCCUUACUGCAUUUCAUGCUAUUUAUUUCAGACUGUUUUUCAAGUUUGCCAGGCUCAUUUUGAAUUCUAAUGCUGUCCUUCAAAGCGCUUACAGCCUCUUCCCAUCUUGGUGUUGUCUGCAAACUUUAUAUUCCCUAUGCUGGGAAGGGCAAACUUUUUGGCCAGAGGGCCACAUCUGGGAAUAGAAAUUGCAUGGUGGGCCAUGAAUGCUCACAAAAUUAGGUUUGGGAUAUGGGAGGAGGUGAGGGCUCUGGUUGGGGGGUGUGGGCUCUGGGGUGGGUCCAUAAAUGAGUUCAGGAUGUGGGAGGGGGCUCCAGGCUAGGACAGGGAGUAGGGGGUGAAGGGAGGAGUGAGGGCUCCGGCUAGGGUUGCGGGCUCUGGUGUGGAGCUGAGAAUGAGGAGUUUGGUGUUUAGGAAGGUGCUUUGGGCUGGGAUCAAGGGGUUCAGAGGGAGGGAGGGGGAUUAGGGCUGGGGCAGGAGGUUGGGAUGCGGGAAGGGGUGCAGGCUAUGGCUGGGGGUGAAGGCUCUGGGGUGGGUCUGCUGAUGAGGGGUUUGGGGUGUAGGAGGAUGCUCUGGGCUGGGAUCAAGGGGUUCAGAGAGCAGGAGGGGGAUCAGGGCUGGGGCAGAGGAUUGGGGUGCAGGGAGAGGCUCAGGGGUGCAGGCUCCGGGCAGCACCUAUCUCUGCAGUUCCUGGCCAAUGGGAGCUGCAGGGGCAGCGUUUGGGGCAGGGGCAGCAUGCAGAGUGGAGGCCCCUGCGCAUAGGAACCGGGGGCUGGGGGGCCAUACAGCUGCUUCCAGGAGCCGCGUGGCAUGGCCCCCGACCCUGCUUCCAAGCUGGAGUGCCGGAGGGGCCCAUGCUGCUGCUUCCAGGACCCUCGUGGAGCAGCCCCCAUCCCUGUGAUGUUAUUGACAUGAACUGUGACCAUAUAGAUCAUUGUAGCAAACAGGAUCCUAUAGUUGCACCAAAUCUUGCACAAAUGAGGUCAAAUAAGGUGUCUAUGGAAAGACUGUAAUUUGCUGGUUAUGAUUAUGCUGUCUGUAUGUGUGUAUCAUUUUUGUAUUUGAAGUUGUGAAUAUUGCUUAUGUACUUGUAUCUCAUUGUGUUUGAUUCUAAAGUAGCAUCAGUGAAGCAUUUGGUCAGCUUCUUGAGAGAGGACUAUUCUGAUCAAGUGCCCAAUCAAGAAACACUUGACUGACAACAUACUUUGGGAGACGCCACAUCCACAUCUGAGCUUUCCUGGGAAUGUUCAAACUAAACAAUGUAAAAUGUAAACAGUGAUGUUGGCCUGCAAAAAGCUGAAUCAUUCAUGGACAUGUGGCUACAAACUCCAUCUUGUUGCUGUGAUUUUGCACAGAAGAACAAAGGGGUUUCCACCCACAAGAGAGACUAUAAAAGGCCCUGGAAGCCUCUCCAUUUUAUCUUCACUUGGCUCAAGAGAUGGCCUCUCCACCCCAAAGAGAUGCUUGAAAGAAACUGGAACAAAGGACAGUAACUACGGGGGUGUGAGUGAUUGCUGGACCCAGGCUAUAAACUACAACGUUGGUCUGAAAAGGAUUGGGCCUAGACUAGGAAGGAGUCUAGUCUGUGAAAGAAGCUUAUUGGGACAUCUUUGAGGGUGAGAUUUACCUGUAUUCAGUCUUCUACUGUAUUAGGCUUAGACUUAUGUGUUUUGUUCUAUUUUACUUGGUAACUUACUUUGUUCUGUCUGUUAUUACUUGGAACAACUUAAAUCCUACUCUUUCUACUUAAUAAAAUCACGUUUGCUUAUUAA